rnacentral:miRNA from 1 species
UGUCUCUAUGCGGUCCUCAUUGUACAUGCUGUGUGUAUCUUUAUUACAUACACAGCGCAUGCAAUGUGGACAUCAUGGAGAUCGAUAUACAGCUGAUG